AUGUAUAAUAGGUAUUAGCAUUGAUUAUAUACCUAUAGUUAUUAGUUUGAUCUAUUGACUACUCCAUAGUCUAUAAGUCAAUGGUUUUAAGUAUUGGAAAAUACUUUUUAGGCACAGUGACCUAACCAAAAAAAGAAAGCUUCAUUUGUAUGUUUUAUGCAGUUUAUUAAGUUAAGUAUGGGUGUAGUGUGUUUUAUUUGUUAAUAUAUAUUUUUUUUACAUUUUACGAUAUAAUUAUAUAGCCACGUGGGCCUAUAAUUCAUUAGAAGUGGGAUAAUGUUCAAGUUUGUUAGUUGUUACACACUGAUCAGUAUUCAGUAUUUAGAAUGUAAUUUGGUCUUAACACUCAUGAUUACAAUUGAUCAGUCUUUCUGCUAUAUAUCAAUCUAUUCAAUAAAAUGCUGAAUUGCAUGGCGCACGCUGAUAUUAGUGAAUAGUGACUAGUAUUUCACUCAUUCGACAUUAAAAAAUGAUUUGGUUAUCACAGUUGUAUGUUAAUCAAUAUUUGGACGAAUCACAGUACAGGAUGCACAAAUAUGUAAUAAAUACUAAUAACUGAUUAGACGCUGAAAAUUGAAAUUUAAAAUUUGAAUUUUGGAAUUCAUAUCUAAUAGUCACUAUUUUACUUUUAUAUUCACUUUAUGUUUAAUAAGUUAUUCUAACGCUGUGUUUUAAUACAUAAAUGUUGUGUAUAAUAUUAUUUAUGGUCAUCUUUUCAAAUUGUGUCAUUAUUUCUAGGUACGAUAUUGACAAUUGACAAUGUUUCAAGAAAAAAAAAUCCAUUAGAAUAAGAAACUAACUACUAUCUGCAAUAGUUACAACAAUCAAAUGGGUAUUCAAAUCUUCAUAAAACAGAUCAAAUAAGUUCUGCAAUUUUGGAUUUACUAUAAUAAGUUAUUGAUAUAAAAAGAAGAUUUUUGGGUGACUUAAUAUUAUACAAAUUUAUAAUGGAGAUGUUAAAGGAUAAAUUAUAUAAAAUAAGCUCCAUGGUUUAAAAUAAUUCCUGUUUAAAUAUGGAUGGUGAAAUUUAAACCAUGAGAAAAUUCUUAUUUUGUAUUAUUCGUUCCAUUAUGACCUGACUGAAUAUUUUGCUUCAUGAUAAUAACAGUCAGCAAAGAAGAGCUUCUAGAGAAACUAUGUUAAGAACAUCUUACAUUUACUAACAUGGAUUACCCUCAGAGAACCAUUAUUGGAUAGUCUCUCCACUCAAGGCACGCACCUGUAAAUUAAAAUAAUUUAUAUUUUUAGUUUAUUGUAUUAAGAAUGUACAGUCAGUUGAAUUUAUCAAAUACACAUUUUUUUUUCAAAAAAACUGAAUACUUAACCUUAACAUUAUCUGAUUCAGAUCAUAUAUCUUUUAUCUUCUAGGACCAUUACAAGUGUUUUUUUUUUACCUUUUUACUCUUAAUUUGUAUAACAAAUAAGUAUUAUGGUAAGUAUUUAUUGACAAAUAUUAACAAAAUUUAUAUGUUU